ACCACCACCUGGGUAAAGUGGCAUCCUCUAGGAUUCUCCGUGACUGAAUAAAAGAGAAAAGGAACUUAUAUUGUAAUUUCAGAAGAAAUGAUAUACCCAAGGUGUACUGUGUGCUUUCCAUGACCUGU